AACCGGCUCGUGGCUCGUACAG
rnacentral:miRNA from 1 species